UCCCUCUCUGCUGCUUCUUGGUUCCAAGUGUGUUUCUUGCUCCCACAGAAGCCCCUGGCACUGCUACCCAGUAGGUGGUGACUCAGACAAGGGAAACUCUCACCAAGCCUAUGCUAUGCUGUCUGGACCCUCAGCUUCCAAAGCUGGAGCUGAAUCAACUUUUCUUUACGGAGGCAGCCUGUGUCAAGUAUUUGACUAACAUGGAACAGAAGAGGCAAGGCCUGGACGACUCAGGAAACAACAAAAGCAGAGAGACACAGAGGUCUGAAUUCCACUGCUAAGCCACACUGACUUCCCAGAAGCCAGGCAAGACACCAACACAAACCCUGGGACGUCCCGGCCUCCGCGAGGAGGGGCCAAGUCUCAUGAUGAACUCCUAGCGGGUGCUGAUGGAUCUGGAGGGCCCCUGUGGAUAUGCAAGCUGCACUGCAGGCUUAGG
rnacentral:lncRNA from 1 species